rnacentral:rRNA from 1 species
GACGAACGCUGGCGGCGUGCCUAACACAUGCAAGUCGAACGGAGUUAAGACUUCGGUUUUAACUUAGUGGCGAACGGGUGAGUAACGCGUGAGAAACCUGCCUUUCAGUGGGGGACAACAGUUGGAAACGACUGCUAAUACCGCAUAAUGUCAUUUGGGGGCAUCCCUGAAUGACCAAAGAUUUAUUGCUGAAAGAUGGUCUCGCGUCUGAUUAGCUAGAUGGCGGGGUAACGGCCCACCAUGGCGACGAUCAGUAGCCGGUCUGAGAGGAUGAACGGCAACAUUGGGACUGAGAUACGGCCCAGACUCCUACGGGAGGCAGCAGUGGGGAAUAUUGGGCAAUGGGGGAAACCCUGACCCAGCAACGCCGCGUGAAGGAAGAAGGCCUUCGGGUUGUAAACUUCUUUUACCAGGGACGAACAAAUGACGGUACCUGGAGAAAAAGCAACGGCUAACUACGUGCCAGCAGCCGCAGUAAAAC